UACGUAGGCAGCAAGCGUUGUUCGGAGUUACUGGGCGUAAAGGGUGUGUAGGCGGUUGCUUAAGUUUGGUGUGAAAUCUCCCGGCUCAACUGGGAGGGUGCGCCGAAUACUGAGUGACUCGAGUGCGGGAGAGGAGAGUGGAAUUCCUGGUGUAGCGGUGAAAUGCGUAGAUAUCAGGAGGAACACCGGUGGUGUAGACGGCUCUCUGGACCGUAACUGACGCUGAGACACGAAAGCGUGGGUAGCAAACAGG
rnacentral:rRNA from 1 species